UGCUUCUUUUGUUUUUCAUGUGGGAGAAAAAUAUGACCUUUACGCAAGAUCUUCUUUUGGCGGCACUGAGCUACUAGUGCAAGGAGAAGUCCUAUCCCACCCAGAGGACAUAUCAGCAGAGCCAUGCUGUUAACCACAUGCAGUCCUGAUUGUGAUGGUGUUCGUCUUUCCUGGCCAUUUCUAAAGCAAAGUGAGAAUGGAUGCUCUGGCCAGUCACACUGCCACCUAUGACAACCAUUUUGCCUUGGGUGCUUCUCUGCUGCUCAAGAGGCAAAUGCUGACAGCGCUGUCCUUGCUCUUCAUCGCUGUCCUUGCUCUUCUUCAUCUCUCUGCACUCAGCCCUGCUUUUGUUGCCAAGGAAUCACAUAACGGAUGUGAAGAACCACAGGUCUUUCAAGGAGUUCAAGAUGCAAGGGCAACUGUAGGAAGAGUAUUCUCGUACCCCAUAUCACCAUUUGCUUUUCAGGGAAAAAUUACUCACUACAAGGUAAUGCUCAGCUCCUGUCUCCUUGUUAAGCAUCCUGUCAGGUAGGCACACUAAUUUGUUGAAAUAGUUUAGUUCAAUUGCAGAGUAGGCUGCUGACAAAAUGCAGAGCAGGCGAUGGCAUUUGAGGAGGGAAACAGAGCAC